rnacentral:tRNA from 1 species
GUUUCCGUAGUGUAGUGGAUAUCACGUUCGCCUAACCCGCGAAAGGUCCCUGGUUCGAGCUCAGGCGGAAACA